rnacentral:misc_RNA from 1 species
GUUAAAUCUCAUUCUUCCUAUGGAUUCCUUCUAUCAAAAGUCUCUAAUAAUUCACCUAGUCACAUCGAGUAACUCGCCCGAGUUCACUCUCCUCAAUCGGGCUUUGACUAGAUCCUCAGUCAUCGGACUCGACGCUGAGUGGAAACCCAUUCGAGCCCGCCAAUCCACUUUCCCCACAGUCUCUCUUCUCCAACUCGCUUGUCAACUCAGGCCUCAACUCGGCGCCGGCUCGGAAGAGCCAGUGGUUUUCCUGCUUGAUCUGUCCUUAAUCCCGCUACCUUCAAUAUGGGAAUUGUUGAGAGAGGUUUUUGUUUCUCCAGAUAUAUUGAAGUUGGGCUUUAGAUUUAAACAAGAUUUAGUUUUCUUGUCUUCAACUUUCUGCUCACAAGGUUGUGAUCCUGGGUUCGACAAGGUGGAACCCUAUUUGGAUAUAACCCGCAUAAACCAUUUUCUGCAACACAAGCAACGGGAAAGGAAGACACCGAAAGAAACCAAGAGUUUGGCAUCUAUAUGCAAUGAAGUAUUGGGGAUUUCUCUUUCAAAGGAACUUCAAUGUAGCGAUUGGUCAUGUCGUCCUCUUACAGAAGAGCAAAAAACAUAUGCUGCAAUUGAUGCGCACUGCUUGCUCGAAAUAUUCAAGGUCUUCCAGGCAAAUGUUGUUAAAGAAGGGAAAUCUUAUGGCAAUGCAACAGAAUUGCAUUCUUCCAAUAUUAAUCUUGGGCUGAAAGAAAUUCUUGAAAAGCAUGAUAUUGGUGAUGCAGUCAUUAGGACCAACUUUUCUGAGGCUUUGAAUAUAGUCCAAGCUACUGUAACUUCAGAAGAUUCUCACAGAGUAGCCAAGGGGGGGAAAAUAAUUUCCAUGGCAUCAACCAGAAGUACUAUGCCUAUGGAUGAACUUCUCUUGAAUAUAGUAAGAAAAUAUGGUGAAAAAAUCUUGUUGAAAGAAUCUGACAGAAAGCCAAAAUCCUCCAAAAAGAAAGGGAAGAAACGAUCCUCAGUUGCAGUUUGCAGGGAAAAACAAUUAGAUGACAUAGGUGACUGGCAAGGACUCCCACCCUGGGAUUUGUCCUUAGGUGGUGAUGGAUGCCCCAAGUUCCUAUGUGAUGUUAUGGUUGAAGGCUUGGCAAAACAUUUACGGUGUGUUGGGAUAGAUGCUGCAAUUCCAUAUUCGAAAAAGCCAGAAUCCAGAGAAUUAAUAGAUCAGGCAUACAAAGAGCAGAGAGUGCUUCUGACACGAGAUGCCAAGUUAUUGAGACACCAAUACUUGAUAAAGAACCAAAUAUACAGAGUGAAGAGUCUUCUUAAAAAUGAACAACUUCUUGAGGUAAUCGACACUUUCCAGUUAAAAAUUACUGAGGAUCAACUGAUGUCAAGGUGCAGUAAGUGCAAUGGGAGGUUUAUUCAAAAGCCACUAACAACCGAAGAGGCUGUUGAAGCUGCAAAGGGCUUUCAGAAAAUUCCUGACUGCUUGUUUAACAAAAAAUUGGAGUUCUGGCAGUGCAUGGAUUGCAACCAACUGUACUGGGAGGGAACCCAAUACCAGAAUGCAGUUCAGAAGUUCAUUGACAUCUGCAAAUUGAACGAGUAAAGUUGAAGUUGACGGUCGAUGCUUCUGCGGAUAAAAAAGGUAUUUUUGUACAACAUAUGUAUGAGCAAUUGUCCUUGUCUAUUCUACAUAUAGUUCUUGAUUCAAGCAUUAUUGUUCAAUGUAAUUGUUCCUCUGAUUUUAAAGAAUUUUGUGAGAGGCAAGAAGAUAAAGGGAUAGAAGACCUGAUAUUCUGUUUUAAGUUUUGAGCCUUUCUGGCUCUUGUUUUGUCCUUCAUCCACUUUAUAUACUCACCAAUUGAUCUAAACAAGUGCGAAAUUGAAAUUAGGGAUGUCUAGUUUUCUGUUUAAAUUGAAAAUUAAACCGAAUCAAAUCAGUUUAAUUGGAAUUUUU